GCUGCUGAAGAAGGGAGUUAUUAGCAGCAAAGACUUGGGUGGGGUGGGUGGUGCAGAAGAAAGCUUGGGUCGGUGGGUGAAAUUUAAUUAUUUUCAAUUUAAAUAUAGUUAUUAGCAAGGUUUAGUCCCACAUCGUAAUUAUUUUCAAGCUAACAUCUUUUUAUCAAUCCGUCGAUCGGUAACGCUGUUGUCUCUUCGAAGACAUCCGAUAAAAUUGGAAUGAUACAGAGAAGAUUAGCAUGGCCCCUGCGCAAGGAUGACACGCACAAAUCGAGAAAUGGUCAAAAUGUUUUUUCCGAUUCGCGUUCUCUUGUUCUUGAUUUGAUUUCCUAUCCUUUUGCCCUUCCUUCUCUGAUUUGAUUUCCCAGCCUCCCCUCUUCCUGGUUCUUCUGAUUCGAUUUUUGUUUUUGGUUUCUUUCUUAUUGGCUGCUACAAUCUGGUUCUUUAUGAUUUAGGGUUUUGUGCUCCGUUUUUUCCCAAAUCGAGUCGACUCGCUUUCAUUUUUGGUUUCUUAUUGGCUGUUAAUCUGGUUCUUUAGGAUUUAGGGUUCUGUGCUCCUUUUUCUCCCAUUUGUGUUCUUAUUUUGGUUUGUUUUCCAUUUCUUUUUUCUUUUUUCUGCUGAAUUUUUUCCUCGCUCUUAGUAGUGUUUUGUCUCCUUUGUGGUUUUUAAUCAAGUUCUCGUUUCUAUUUCUCUCUCUCUCUCGAUUUGUUUUGAUUCUUCUCCGGUUCUGGAAACCUGAGGACAUGGAUGGAUGGACUUCUGAGUUCGCUUCGCUUUGGAUCACAGCACCAUUCUUUACUCGCAUAAUGAGCAACGUUAUCAGUUACGGCGCCGGCUGAAUUGUUUUUUAUGUUAUCGACGGAUACUCUACUCUUCUUCUUGACUUGUUCGACUUCUGCACUCCCAUGAAUACAUGCUUCUGGUCGAAGACGGCGUUAUGUGUUGAUGGUAUUCGGACCUCUUUGUCAAACAUUCAAUAUUGGCUCUGCUGUUGCCUAUUGGAGAGGUAGCAGGUUCAGCACCAAGAAAUGGUUUCCAUCUGUGUGCCAUUGACAACCUAGAAACUUCAACUCAUAGGAUGAAGAUGAAGCAUGACACGAGUGCCAUGCCCUUAACGAUCCAUCAUGAACUGAAAGGACGUGAUAGCUUUUAACAAUCUGAUGGUCUUGAUACAUGUGAAUUAAAGAGUUGCUCACAGCAUUGUAUGUCAACGGAAGAAAGUUGGAAGAGCGAAAAGAAGGCAGUUUGAUCUAUUCCAUUGUCCAAAUGGUUUCAAAAUCAAGGAAGGUUUUCUCAAGCAUUCUAGACAAUAUCUAGUAAAGUAAGGUGCUUAGAUAAAUCUUGCUGCAUGCAACCAGUGUAGCUGUUGCGCUAUCUUGUGCCAGCACAAUGUCAGGACAGGCCAGUAAACAGAGCACUAGGUUGGCACAAGCUUCUAGUGGUCGGUCAUCUCUGUUCCCUCGGUGUCUUGGCACUAGGACAUGCCAAUGAAACUGUGGGCUAUAUAACACGCUAUGCUGCUCGGAUUCAGCAACUUUAAACAUAAGUUCAGUCCAUGGAUUGCUUCAUGACUACAUCCAUUUUAACCAUGAUCUUUCACUGUAUUUAGCUUAUGCCAAUCCUGACUAUCACAUAUCAGAGGUCUACGAUUUGAUCACAUUAGCCAGAAGAGCCUCUCAUCUUAUACGUAUGAAAUGCCAGCACACUUGUGCCGACCAUGCAGUGUCAUGCAUGUCGAAGAGCACUAAUUGCAUCAUUUGAUUCUGAAAUUACACUCAAUAUUGGUUGCGGAAUAUACGAGGCAAAACUCUGUGCUACAGCAUAUCGACUGUUAUUACUGUCAAGUGAUUGGCAGCACCUCUUUUUCUGGAAUUUGAAAGGAAAAUGAUGCUUAUUCCAGCUUCUUUUUGUCUAAUCCAGCUUCAUUCGAUGAAUAAGGUUUGAUUUGAAGCGUUUCACAACAUAGUUUGCAUUAAAUAUCUACUGCAGAAGUAGCUGAUAUGGAACUUCAACUCUUGGUAACGCCUCAGGUAAAACUAGAAUCGUCUGGUGUUGCCAUACAGCUUCAAUAAAGUUCACUUAUAGAAGCAAUUGGGACUAGUAUAUAAGCUUUUUCUGGGCAAAAAGAACUAUAUCAAAAUGUAUAUGUUAUCAGGGAUUAUGUGCAAUGUGGGUUAGCAAUCACUAAUGUGUUUGACUUUGUAUGGUGCUUAUCUCAUCUGUAUGCUUCUUGUGCUGUUUCUCCAGUAUAUAGUGAAGAUGCAAUAGAGUAGCAAUUUCUU